rnacentral:rRNA from 1 species
CGUCUAUAUACGUAUAGCAUAUCAAUAAGCGGAGGAAAAGAAACUAACUAGGAUUCCCUCAGUAACGGCGAGUGAAGCGGGAAGAGCUCAAAUUUGAAAUCUUCAAGGUUCUACCUUGACGAAUUGUAGUUUAAAGAAGUGUUUUCUGUUGGAGUUUCGGUAAAAGUUCUUUGGAAUAGGACAUCAUAGAGGGUGAGAAUCCCGUAUUUGACCAUUAUUUCCAACUUUGUGAUACACUUUCAAAGAGUCGGAUUGUUUGGGAAUGCAGUCCAAAAUGGGUGGUAAAUUUCAUCUAAAGCUAAAUAUUGGCGAGAGACCGAUAGCGAACAAGUACCGUGAGGGAAAGAUGAAAAGAACUUUGAAAAGAGAGUUAAACAGUACGUGAAAUUGUCAAAAGGGAAGCGUUUGACACCAGUGUUGUUUUCUCGAAAAUCAAUUAAAAUGAGAUUAGGAUUUUGUAUUGUUAUAGACCUUUAUCAGCUUACUGUACUUUUUUCUUGCUCUUUUUAAUGCACUUUUCGUUUAACAAGUCAACAUCAAUUUCUUUUGUUGUAAAAGAGGUCAUUGGAAGGUGGCUUUCUUUUCGGAGAAAGUGUUUAUAGCCUUUGGACUUCUGCAAUCGGAGAGAUUGAGGUCUGCAGCGUAGAUCCUUCGGGGUUAGAUACAUUUGUGCUAAGUUAUAGCCUUUCAUAGACAACUUGUUGACUAUGAUCAGUCAUGUAGCUUACUCGCUUAUGUAUUUUACCUACGCUUAGGAUGUUGAUCUGUAGUGCGUGCGC